rnacentral:rRNA from 1 species
UACGUAGGGGGCAAGCGUUAUCCGGAUUUACUGGGUGUAAAGGGUGCGUAGGCGGCUCUGCAAGUCAGAAGUGAAAUCUAUGGGCUUAACCCAUAAACUGCUUUUGAAACUGUGGAGCUUGAGUGAAGUAGAGGUAGGCGGAAUUCCCGGUGUAGCGGUGAAAUGCGUAGAGAUCGGGAGGAACACCAGUGGCGAAGGCGGCCUACUGGGCUUUAACUGACGCUGAGGCACGAAAGCGUGGGUAGCAAACAGG